rnacentral:rRNA from 1 species
AACGAACGCUGGCGGCAGGCUUAACACAUGUAAGUCGAGCGCCCCGCAAGGGGAGCGGCAGACGGGUGAGUAACGCGUGGGGACGUACCCUUUGCUACGGAAUAGCUCCGGGAAACUGGAAUUAAUACCGUAUGUGCCCUACGGGGGAAAGAUUUAUCGGCAAAGGAUCGGCCCGCGUUGGAUUAGCUAGUUGGUGGGGUAAUGGCCUACCAAGGCGACGAUCCAUAGCUGGUCUGAGAGGAUGAUCAGCCACAUUGGGACUGAGACACGGCCCAAACUCCUACGGGAGGCAGCAGUGGGGAAUAUUGGACAAUGGGCGCAAGCCUGAUCCAGCCAUGCCGCGUGAGUGAUGAAGGCCUUAGGGUUGUAAAGCUCUUUCACCGGAGAAGAUAAUGACGGUAUCCGGAGAAGAAGCCCCGGCUAACUUCGUGCCAGCCGCCGCAGUAAUAC